GCAGAUGUCGUUGCCACUGAUGCUCAACCUAUAGUUCGUUUUUGAACCUAAACCGUACAAACCCAAUUGUUUUGAUCACUCAAACGAAGAACACUUUGAUUUCCCAAUUACCGUAAAUCUUCACACUUUCGAACUCGCAAUCACUUGUUAACAAUGGCGAUUCAGCACGAGAUCACUAGGCAGACUCAGACCAAGAUUCUUGAUACGGCGCCAUUCAUGGUGCUCUUACUGAUUGCAGCUCACGUCUUUGCAUUGGUUUACGGGAUCUACAAAUUGGCGACAUCGAAACUGCCUCAAAGAAGAAUCGAGACCAUAAAGAAAAGAAGUUAGUGAUGUAAUAUCGGUAGUUGGCUUUUGUUGAACAAUUUUUAAAAAAUCAAUCAUGAAAACCCAGGUCCUUCGUAAAUGGAUGUUUGGUGUUCGAUGAAAUGUCUUGUAAUUCAUUUUUUGCAUAAUUACGUCUUUCUGAUGGAUUUUUCCCCAUUCAGCAUAAAAAUACGUUCGGUAAUCGACUUGCACUCUUGGUGUUUGGUUUAUUUGAGGGUAGUGCCUUCAAUUUGAUGAAAUGCAUUAUUUAGUCGUCUUGUUUGC